AUGCUGCUAAUGCGACACUACGAUCGGAGACCCUUUGACGAAACUGUGUGCGAUGCAUUAAUCACAAACGGGGAUGUAAAAAACCCGUCAAAAAAGGUGCAAAAUGUUUGCGAUGGAGCAUGCAUCAAACAUAGUUCAGAUUUUAGUUGCGCGUGCGAUGCAGGGCACACGGUUAACCCAUUCGAACUGUUUGCGAUCAGGAAGAACAACAAAAACGGGCAGCCAUAUCAAUGUGUGUGCGAUAUACGGCAUACAGUUCGCUCUGAUGAACCGUUUGCUAUUAGGGAGUGCAACAUAAAUGGUUAG
rnacentral:rRNA from 1 species